GACGAACGCUGGCGGCGUGCUUAACACAUGCAAGUCGAACGGAAAGGCCCUGCUGGUGGGGGAUGCUCGAGUGGCGAACGGGUGAGUAAUACGUGAGUAACCUGCCCUUGACUUUGGGAUAACUUCAGGAGACGCGGGCUAAUACCGUAUAGGAGCUCCUGCUGCAGGGUGGGGGUAGGAAAGUUUCGGCGGUUGGGGAUGGACUCGCGGUUUAUCAGCUUGUUGGUGGGGUAGUGGCUUACCAAGGCUUUGACGGGUAGCCGGCCUGAGAGGGUGACCGGCCACAUUGGGACUGAGAUACGGCCCAGACUCCUACGGGAGGCAGCAGUGGGGAAUAUUGCACAAUGGGCGGAAGCCUGAUGCAGCAACGCCGCUUGCGGGAUGACGGCCUUCGGGUUGUAAACCGCUUUCGCCUGUGACGAAGCGAGAGUGACGGUAAUGGGUAAAGAAGCACCGGCUAACUACGUG
rnacentral:rRNA from 1 species